CUGAGCUUUUGGACCAUAGUGAAGUUGAUGCCUUCAGUCCACCAGGAUACCCGAGGUAGUCCUGUAGGCGUCCGCAGGCCUUGGCUUCCGCUUUCUAUCUAGUUUUUCUUUUGUUCUUUACUAUUUCAGAGACAGACAUGUAUCUAUCUCGUUCGAACCCUAUUUAUAGUAUUCUUAGAUAGUCUGUGACAUAGUGACACCAAUUUUGGGUAGAGCUGUAUUUUGGAUUUCUG
rnacentral:lncRNA from 1 species